GAUGAAGAACGUAGCGAAAUGCGAUAAGUAAUGUGAAUUGCAGAUUUCAGUGAAUCAUCGAAUCUUUGAACGCAACUUGCGCCCUCUGGUAUUCCGGAGGGCAUGCCUGUUUGAGUGUCAUGUAGACUCAAUCCCUCGGGUUUCUGAGGAGGUUGGAUUUGGGUGCUUGCCUUCUGGCUCGCCUUAAAGGACUUAGCAGGAUAGCACUGUAGUCGACGUAAUAAGUCUCGUCGGUGAAAGUGUGAUGUCUGCUUACAGAUUGCCCUUGGGCACUUUUGACUCUGACCUCAAAUCAGGUAGGACUACCCGCUGAACUUAAGCAUCCCAAUAAGCGGAGGA
rnacentral:misc_RNA from 1 species